rnacentral:rRNA from 1 species
UGAGUUUGAUCCUGGCUCAGGAUGAACGCUAGCGGCAGGCCUAACACAUGCAAGUCGAGGGGCAGCGGGAGUGCUUGCACUCGCCGGCGACCGGCGCACGGGUGCGGAACGCGUAUCGAAUCUGCCUCUAUCUGGGGGAUACCCCAUGGAAACGUGGAAUAAUACCCCAUAGUAUUACUUUAUCGCAUGAUUUAGUAAUUAAAGAAUUUCGGAUAGAGAUGACGAUGCGUAUCAUUAGCUAGUAGGUAAGGUAACGGCUUACCUAGGCAACGAUGAUUAGGGGUCCUGAGAGGGAGAUCCCCCACACUGGUACUGAGACACGGACCAGACUCCUACGGGAGGCAGCAGUGAGGAAUAUUGGACAAUGGUCGAAAGACUGAUCCAGCCAUGCCGCGUGCAGGAUGACUGCCCUAUGGGUUGUAAACUGCUUUUAUACGGGAAGAAAAACACCUACGUGUAGGUGACUGACGGUACCGUAAGAAUAAGGACCGGCUAACUCCGUGCCAGCAGCCGCGGUAAUACGGAGGGUCCAAGCGUUAUCCGGAAUCAUUGGGUUUAAAGGGUCCGUAGGCGGGCUAUUAAGUCAGAGGUGAAAGUUUGCAGCUCAACUGUAAAAUUGCCUUUGAUACUGAUAGUCUUGAAUUGUAGUGAAGUGGUUAGAAUAUGUGGUG